rnacentral:rRNA from 1 species
AGUUGUAUCCUGGCUCAGAACGAACGCUGGCGGCAGGCCUAACACAUGCAAGUCGAGCGCAGUCCUUCGGGACCGAGCGGCGGACGGGUUAGUAACGCGUGGGAAUAUGCCCUUCACUACGGAAUAGCCUCGGGAAACUGAGAGUAAUACCGUAUACGCCCUUCGGGGGAAAGAUUUAUCGGUGAAGGAUUAGCCCGCGUAAGAUUAGAUAGUUGGUGGGGUAAUGGCCUACCAAGUCUACGAUCUUUAGCUGGUUUUAGAGGAUGAUCAGCAACACUGGGACUGAGACACGGCCCAGACUCCUACGGGAGGCAGCAGUGGGGAAUCUUGGACAAUGGGCGCAAGCCUGAUCCAGCCACGCCGCGUGUGUGAUGAAGGCCUUAGGGUCGUAAAGCACUUUCGCCAGAGAUGAUAAUGACAGUAUCUGGUAAAGAAACCCCGGCUAACUCCGUGCCAGCAGCCGCGGUAAUACGGAGGGGGUUAGCGUUGUUCGGAAUUACUGGGCGUAAAGCGCACGUAGGCGGAUUAGUCAGUCAGAGGUGAAAUCCCAGGGCUCAACCCUGGAACUGCCUUUGAUACUGCUAGUCUUGAGUUCGAGAGAGGUGAGUGGAAUUCCGAGUGUAGAGGUGAAAUUCGUAGAUAUUCGGAGGAACACCAGUGGCGAAGGCGGCUCACUGGCUCGAUACUGACGCUGAGGUGCGAAAGUGUGGGGAGCAAACAGGAUUAGAUACCCUGGUA